AUACGUAGGGGUGCGAGCGUUGUCCGGGAUUUAUGGGGCGUAAAGGGCUCGUAGGUGGUUGAUCGCGUCGGAAGUGUAAUCUUGGGGCUUAACCCUGAGCGUGCUUUCGAUACGGGUUGACUUGAGGAAGGUAGGGGAGAAUGGAAUUCCUGGUGGAGCGGUGGAAUGCGCAGAUAUCAGGAGGAACACCAGUGGCGAAGGCGGUUCUCUGGGCCUUUCCUGACGCUGAGGAGCGAAAAGCGUGGGGAGCGAACAGGCUUAGAUACCCUGGUAGUCCACGCUGUAAACGGUGGGUACUAGGUGUGGGGUCCAUUCCACGGGUUCCGUGCCGUAGCUAACGCUUUAAGUACCCCGCCUGGGGAGUACGGCCGCAAGGCUAAAACUCAAAGGAAUUGACGGGGCCCCGCACAAGCGGCGGAGCAUGCGGAUUAAUUCGAUGCAACGCGUAGAACCUUACCUGGGUUUGACAUGGAUCGGGAGCGCUCAGAGAUGGGUGUGCCUCUUUUGAGGUCGGUUCACAGGUGGUGCAUGGCUGUCGUCAGCUCGUGUCGUGAGAUGUUGGGUUAAGUCCCGCAACGAGCGCAACCCUUGUUCACUGUUGCCAGCACGUUAUGGUGGGGACUCAGUGGAGACCGCCGGGGUCAACUCGGAGGAAGGUGGGGAUGACGUCAAGUCAUCAUGCCCCUUAUGUCCAGGGCUUCACGCAUGCUACAAUGGCUGGUACAGAGAGUGUCGAGCCUGUGAGGGUGAGAGAAUCUCGGAAAGCCGGUCUCAGUUCGGGAUUGGGGUCUGCAACUCGACCUUCAUGAAGUCGGAGUCGCUAGUAAUCGCAGAUCAGCAACGCUGCGGUGAAUACGUU
rnacentral:rRNA from 1 species